AAAUUGAAGAGUUUGAUCAUGGCUCAGAUUGAACGCUGGCGGCAGGCCUAACACAUGCAAGUCGAACGGUAACAGGAAACAGCUUGCUGCUUCGCUGACGAGUGGCGGACGGGUGAGUAAUGUCUGGGAAACUGCCUGAUGGAGGGGGAUAACUACUGGAAACGGUAGCUAAUACCGCAUAACGUCGCAAGACCAAAGAGGGGGACCUUCGGGCCUCUUGCCAUCGGAUGUGCCCAGAUGGGAUUAGCUUGUUGGUGGGGUAACGGCUCACCUAGGCGACGAUCCCUAGCUGGUCUGAGAGGAUGACCAGCCACACUGGAACUGAGACACGGUCCAGACUCCUACGGGAGGCAGCAGUGGGGAAUAUUGCACAAUGGGCGCAAGCCUGAUGCAGCCAUGCCGCGUGUAUGAAGAAGGCCUUCGGGUUGUAAAGUACUUUCAGCGGGGAGGAAGGGAGUAAAGUUAAUACCUUUGCUCAUUGACGUUACCCGCAGAAGAAGCACCGGCUAACUCCGUGCCAGCAGCCGCGGUAAUACGGAGGGUGCAAGCGUUAAUCGGAAUUACUGGGCGUAA
rnacentral:rRNA from 1 species